rnacentral:lncRNA from 1 species
UUUCAUUCUUCACUAUUCUCUUCAAGAUUCCACUUUCAAAGUAAUGCGUGUGCUUUCAUAUGAUCAACCUCUAAAUGCCUCAGUCCAGGUGACAACACAAAGGGAUGGGGAGAGGUGAGCUGUGGCCAGAAACCACAAGUUAGCAGCAGGACCAGAGCUGCUGCCCCUGGUCAAAGCCCGGCUGUUGCGUACAAAGCUUGAUUUUGCCGCCAAAAAGAUUGGAUGAUUCAUAACAUCCCGGCUCCAGUGGACACUAUGUCCAGAGGCCUCUUCUAGAGGAGACUGGGAUCCGCACUGCAGCCAGGUCACCUGGAGAGGCCGGUGGAGUGGACGAAGCAGGCAAAGGCGGCAACAGAGUAGAGGUGCUGUCCAGGAGCUUCCGAGUCUCAGUCCCCACCAGGCGGGGCUGGGAGGCUCCCAGCGGCCGUCUGGCCUGCAGAUGCCACCAUGGAUACAGCAGAUCAAAUGAUGCAAGCAGUUACUGCCCUUUUACAGUUCAAGUGACAUCCAGGCCCCGGUGGACGCCAAGACCUCUAGGAGUAGAAGCCAGCGUCUCUACAGGCAGCUGUCACAGGAAUUCAACAGUGAGCGCCCCACGGCAGGUCUGCUCAGGUUCCCUCUACUCUUGCCCCAACCCCCAAGGUGUCUGUGUGUGCGAUCACCACAGCCAGCCCUACGCUCCAUUUUACAAAUGGAGAAACAGAUCAGAGCAGGGUGUGAGCCCUCCAAUUUCACACCAGCAACUGGUUGACCCCUGAGGAGACUCCAGGCCACCUGACAUGCAGUCACACCUUCCACACCUCUGGUUGUCUCCUUGUUUGGUGGCCUGGUGGGAGGGCAGAAGAGCCAGGGGGCAUGGCUGUUCAGCUUUGAUUGAUAGCAACCAUCAGUAAUCUGUUAGAUAGCCACAAACUAUCAUGGGCUUCACACUGAAACCUCAUAUCAACUCUGGAAGUAAAUUGUCUCAUUUGUCAUAACAGGACUCUGAGUCUCUGAAAGGCUAAGACUUGCCUGAGGUCCCCAGGCUGGGACACCAUGGAGCUGGGAGGACUUGAAUAGUAGUCCACAUGCUCUUGGCCCAUGGCUUCACUGUAGGUCUCUUGCAAGCACCAGGCUAUGGGACAUGCUUUUGGAAGUUCUGGAAGCGACUCCCGGUGGCCAAGCGGUGUCCACUGUGGUUGAGGGUGGGUCAGGGAAGGGUUCAGGUUGUUGAGAGUCCUGUGGGCCUCAGGACAGAGGGGGUGACUGACCUGAUUCUCCUGCCUGGGCUGCCCACCCUGACCCUCUCAGACAUUCCUCAUCGUAGGUGAAAUGGGGUAUUCCCAGAGGAGUGGGGUGUGGUCAGGGCGCAGGGAAGACAAAGGAUUUAUAAGCUAGAGACCCCCAGCAUGCCUGUCACGACCCGGCCCAGGGUGCUCUUCACCCCGAGAUGAUCGUGCACAUGGGGGGUCUCCUCCUUCCUCC